rnacentral:rRNA from 1 species
AUUGAACGCUGGCGGCAGGCCUAACACAUGCAAGUCGAACGAGGGGCGGACGGGUGAGGAAUGUAUGGGAAACUGCCCGAUGGAUGGGGAUAACUACUGGAAACGGUAGCUAAUACCGCAUACCAUCGGAUGUGCCCAGAUGGGAUUAGCGAGUAGGUGGGGUAACGGCUCACCUAGGCGACGAUCACUAGUUGGCCGGAGAGGAUGACCAGCCACACUGGAACGGAGACACGGUCCAGACUCCUACGGGAGGCAGCAGUGGGGAAUAUUGCACAAUGGGCGCAAGCCUGAUGCAGCCAUGCCGCGUGUGUGAAGAAGGCCUUCGGGUUGUAAAGCACUUUCAGCGAGGAGGCGUUACUCGCAGAAUAAGCACCGGCUAACUCCGUGCCAGCAGCCGCGGUAAUAC